rnacentral:rRNA from 1 species
ACGUGAGCAACCUGCCCAUCACUCUGGGAUAAGCACUGGAAACGGUGUCUAAUACUGGAUACGAAACAUCACCGCAUGGUGAGUGUUUGGAAAGAUUUAUCGGUGGUGGAUGGGCUCGCGGCCUAUCAGCUUGAUGGUGAGGUAAUGGCUCACCAUGGCGACGACGGGUAGCCGGCCUGAGAGGGUGACCGGCCACACUGGGACUGAGACACGGCCCAGACUCCUACGGGAGGCAGCAGUGGGGAAUAUUGCACAAUGGGCGCAAGCCUGAUGCAGCAACGCCGCGUGAGGGAUGACGGCCUUCGGGUUGUAAACCUCUUUUAGUAGGGAAGAAGCGUAAGUGACGGUACCUGCAGAAAAAGCACCGGCUAACUACGUGCCAGCAGCCGCGGUAAUACGUAGGGUGCAAGCGUUGUCCGGAAUUAUUGGGCGUAAAGAGCUCGUAGGCGGCUUGUCGCGUCUGCUGUGAAAACCCGAGGCUCAACCUCGGGCUUGCAGUGGGUACGGGCAGGCUAGAGUGCGGUAGGGGAGAUUGGAAUUCCUGGUGUAGCGGUGGAAUGCGCAGAUAUCAGGAGGAACACCGAUGGCGAAGGCAGAUCUCUGGGCCGCUACUGACGCUGAGGAGCGAAAGCAUGGGGAGCGAACAGGAUUAGAUACCCUGGUAGUCCAUGCCGUAAACGUUGGGAACUAGAUGUAGGGCCUGUUCCACGGGUUCUGUGUCGUAGCUAACGCAUUAAGUUCCCCGCCUGGGGAGUACGGCCGCAAGGCUAAAACUCAAAGGAAUUGACGGGGGCCCGCACAAGCGGCGGAGCAUGCGGAUUAAUUCGAUGCAACGCGAAGAACCUUACCAAGGCUUGACAUAUACGAGAACACUGCAGAA